rnacentral:rRNA from 1 species
CCUACGGGUGGCAGCAGUGGGGAAUAAUGCACAAUGGGGGAAACCCUGAUGCUGCGACGCCGCGUGAGUGAAGAAGUAAUUCGUUAUGUAAAGCUCUAUCAGCAGGGGAGAAAAUGACGGUACCAGAGUCAGAAGCCCAGGCUAACUAUGUGCCAGCAGCCGCGGUAAUACGUAGGGGGCAAGCGUAAUCCGGAUUUACAGGGUGUAAAGGGAGCGUAGACGGCAGUGCAAGUCUGGAGUGAGAGGCGGGGGCUCAACCCCCGGACUGCUCUGGAAACUGUACGGCUGGAGUGCAGGAGAGGUAAGUGGAAUUCCUAGUGUAGCGGUGAAAUGCGUAGAUAUUAGGAGGAACACCAGGGGCGAAGGCGGCUUACUGGACUGUAACUGACGUUGAGGCUCGAAGGCGUGGGGAGCAAACAGGAGUAGAUACCCUUGUAGUC